UUUCCUACGGGAGGCAGCAGUGGGGAAUUUUGGACAAUGGGGGCAACCCUGAUCCAGCCAUACCGCGUGAGUGAAGAAGGCCUUCGGGUUGUAAAGCUCUUUCGGCAGGAAAGAAAUCGCCAUCUCUAAUACGGGUGGUGGAUGACGGUACCUGAAGAAGAAGCACCGGCUAACUACGUGCCAGCAGCCGCGGUAAUACGUAGGGUGCGAGCGUUAAUCGGAAUUACUGGGCGUAAAGCGUGCGCAGGCGGCUUUUUAAGCCAGAUGUGAAAUCCCCGGGCUUAACCUGGGAACUGCAUUUGGAACUGGAAGGCUAGAGUGCGGCAGAGGGGGGUAGAAUUCCACGUGUAGCAGUGAAAUGCGUAGAUAUGUGGAGGAACACCGA
rnacentral:rRNA from 1 species